rnacentral:rRNA from 1 species
UACGUAGGGUGCGAGCGUUAAUCGGAAUUACUGGGCGUAAAGCGUGCGCAGGCGGCGCCAUAAGACAGAUGUGAAAUCCCCGGGCUUAACCUGGGAAUUGCGUUUGAAACUACAAGGCUAGAGUGCAGCAGAGGGGAGUGGAAUUCCAUGUGUAGCAGUGAAAUGCGUAGAGAUGUGGAAGAACACCGAUGGCGAAGGCAGCUCCCUGGGUUGACACUGACGCUCAUGCACGAAAGCGUGGGGAGCAAAC